rnacentral:misc_RNA from 1 species
GAUGAAGAACGUAGCGAAAUGCGAUAAGUAAUGUGAAUUGCAGAAUUCAGUGAAUCAUCGAAUCUUUGAACGCACAUUGCGCCCGCCAGCAUUCUGGCGGGCAUGCCUGUUCGAGCGUCAUUUCAACCCUCAAGCUCUGCUUGGUGUUGGGGCCCUACGAUUGACGUAGGCCCUUAAAGGUAGUGGCGGACCCUCUCGGAGCCUCCUUUGCGUAGUAACUAACGUCUCGCAUUGGGAUUCGGAGGGACUCUUGCCGUAAAACCCCCAAAUUUUCUAAUGGUUGACCUCGGAUCAGGUAGGAAUACCCGCUGAACUUAAGCAUAUCAAUAAGCGGAGGA